rnacentral:lncRNA from 1 species
CGGGAUUUCCCGCGGGUCUGGCCGUGCCGCGGCGCCGUGCGGCGGCGGCGGCGCCGGGAGGAUGAGGAUGCCUGCAGCCCGGCGGGGGAACGGGAAGCGCACCGGGUGCUGGACUGGGUACCGGAGUCAGCAUCUUCUACAACCUCGGCACCAGCGUCUACUUCGCCUUCCAGGGCUGCGAGGCCACGGCGUCCACGCGGGCGCUGGAGGCCGCCGAGGAUCUGGGCUACGCCGGGCUGGCGGCGCUCACCGGGGGCUUGGCGGGCCCGGUGGCCAUGGGGGUGCAGCUGGGGCUGCAGCCGGGGCUCAAGGCCGGCGUGCGGGCGCUCAUCGGGUAUUUCACCUCGGCCGGGGAGCCCUCGCCCGUGCCCACCGCGCACAGCGGCGCCGUGGUCAUCGUCUGAAUAAAGGGCACGUGUGGCAGCUGGGGGCGGCUCGCUGUUUGGGGACAGAUCGAUGCGGGGUCACCCUGCCCUGGGGCAGCCGGAGCUUGGCCACGUGGUGGCAGCUGGGCUGGGCCUGUCCCUGUCCCUAGAGCCCAGCCCUGUCCUCAUCCCAGUGGCCACAUUGCCUUGUCCCUGUCGCCAUGGCUCUUUCCCUCUCUCCCUCCAGCCUGUCCCUGUCCCCAGGGCUCUGUCCCUGUCCCCAGGCUGUCCCCAUCCCUCUGGCUCUGUCCCCAUGACCUGUCUCUGUCUCCCUCUCCCCAUGGCCGUGUCCCUGUCCCCAUCCCUGCAGUUUCUCCCUGUCUCCCUGACUCUGUACCCCCUGUCCCCACGGGCUCUGUCCCUGUCCCCAUGGCCUGUCCCCACAGCUCUGUUCCCGGGGCUCUAUCCCUGUUCCUAUAACCUGUCCCUAAAGCUCUAUCCUUGUCCCUGCAGCCUGUCCCUAUCCCCAUGGCUCUGUCCCUGUCCCCAUGGCCUGUCCCGGUCCCCUCUUUGUCCCUGCCCCCCGCCCGGGUCCCCAUGGCCUGUCCCUGUCCCCAUGGCCUGUCCCUGUCCCCAUGGCUCUGUCCCUGUCUCCAUGGCUCUGUCCCUGUCCCCACC